AAUUCUGCUGCAAAUACAACGCCAUCUUCUUCUUCUUCUUCAGAGCAGGAUGUAUGGUCUGCUGUUCAGGAGAGGGCGCUUGUGCAAGCACUGAAAACCUUUCCAAAGGAUGCCAAUCAGCGAUGGGAGCGAGUUGCAGCUGCAGUACCUGGAAAGACUGUAAACCAGUGCAAGAAGAAAUUUGCUUUGCUGAAGGAGAGCUUUAGAAGCAAGAAAAGUACUGCCUAGUCUCCAGCAGAGGAGGUUGGUUGCUUGUCGGCUCAAUAUCGAUGAUUAUUGUGAGUAGUCGUCCAGAAGGUAUGUUGAUAUCCAAGGUUUCAUCUCGCCUAACACACCUUGGAGAGCCAUCUCACAUGCCAGGUAGAGCAAGUUGGGGCGCUCUUAAUCUUUAUAGUACAACACGUUUUUGGUGCCUGGAAACAAGAGAGUAGUAGUAGUAGUAGUAAGUACCACCAUUAUUUUCCAGGGUGAGAGACACAGCAUGGAAAGAAGAUUUUGGUUAGGGGGCAAUAUUUCUCACAAUGCUUCCUUCACUUAAGUAUCAUGAUCUUUUAUAUUUGCAUGAUUUUUGGCUACUGCACCAUGCAAGAGUCAUUGGAUGUUGGAUACAGUUUCUAAUGCAUUCUUUACUACGUUGGCGUUGUCAUUAUUAACUGAGGGUAGUCUUAGACUUAAGAGGCUUUGUUUCCUGCUCAAAGUUGCCAAAGUGUUGACGUUUAGUUUGAAGGGCACAAAUCUGGAUCACUUCAAACGAAAUUCAGAAGUUGGAAUUAGGUAAAUUAAGCCUCCAAAUCUAGCAGAAUUGUGGAUGUCGCUUUGUGAUGGUAAUGUAACCCUAAAUUUGACCAAUUCUGCGUCCUCGUCCGCCACUGAAAACGCACCAGCAGGAAUUGGAACAUGGAUUUCCCAACUGAAAUAUUUUACUGUUGCGUUUUGCUCACAGACAAACAAGAUUUUCUCUGGAAACAUUGUUAACAAAAACUUAAAAAAGGCGAACACUCAUAACUGAAGCUCGAGAGUACAUGUUUGAUUAACACAAUAAGUAUGUCAUACCAUUACUUCAUCUUUGAAACACUUUCUUCCAGUUCGAUCGAUGGUUUAAUAAGUGGUUCAGUCUGAAAAUCUGUCUAUCUGAUGUGAUGAUUUUGAGUGUAUUCAUAUCUUAUUCGCCUUGAAGUGCCAUUGGAUAAUCUAUCACAAGGAGGAUAGGACAUAUAGCUAAAUCUAUAAUGGAAAGUCUCGUCAUUUAGGGGUGAGGCAUAGUGAUGUCUAUGAACUGAUCACUCACGGGACAAUCACUGUCCAAUAUGUUCGGUCUGAACAAAAUCUAGUUGAUCACUUGACAAAGAGAUUAACUAGAGAUUUGGUUACCAAAUCAGCAGGAGGGGUGAGACUUAAGUCUGUCUUGAUCUCCAAAAAUAGGACAUCUAAUUCCCCUCUAAUACAACAUUAGAGGCUAAAUUCAAUGCGGAAAGCCUAUGGAUGGAAAUUGGAGCACAAGGUUUGAAACAUCCAGCAGGUAUGUGCUCAGAAACCUACGAGUGAUAGAGGUUGAAAAUUAAUUUCUUAAUUGAUUGAUUGACAAAGUGUAUACGCAAGUACACAAGAAAGGAAUUAACCUAUGCGAGCAUGGAGUGUAGCCGCUUCAAGAAACUUGGACUUGGUUUCGUGUGCGCUCGUGAAAGGAAUGGGACACAUGGCGGUCAAUAGUGUUAGAAUAUUUAGAAUAGAUAGAAUAAACUAUUGUGUAUGUUAUCUUCAUAUACUCAAAUGAGUAGACAGGUCCAAUCCGUAGUGACACACCUAUAUUCGAGUAUUUUGAAAUGUGUAAUAUACUAGAUGGAAAUUCAAUCUUCAUGACAUUUUCAUUGAUGCAAGAGCUUUCGGUUGGAUAUUUGUUAUAAUUUUAGCGAAUUCACAGACUUCACUAAAAUGGGGGAGGAAUGUUGGAAAUAUGCACCUAGGGUUCGACCUUGGUGUGAUGGCAGCACCAUGGACUUUACCUUGGUGCGAUGAUGGUGUUGGUACGGAUGUGUGGACUCAAGGGAAACCUCACCUUAGCUCAGAGCAAGAUGGAACUAGCUAGCAUCAGCUCCUCUAUGAGCUAGGUGAUGCUAGGGACUGACACUCAAGCUCAUCCAGCUCAACUUGAGAUGGAUGCUAGUGUCACUAGCUGCGAUGUUGAGCUGAGCUACAAUGAUGGUAGGGAGCUAUGUGGUUGGGGUGGUUACUCCUUCUCCUAGGACGAAUUGGCUUACACCUCUUCGUGAGAGUCAAACUCAAUUCUGAGUUGUUUUCCCUCCAAAACCCGUGGGGCUUUAAGGUACCUUUUAACCACCUUCAAGUCUAUCCAUAAGAUAACGAUUCCAGUUGGUGCAUGAAUUCGUACCCCUUCACCCCUGGACUCUUUGCCUAUGUAAAGAAGGCAGUUGCGUGUUAAAAAUAGACAUAAAUAGAAACAUCUACCCUAGCCUAUGAUAUUCUAAGUGACUCCAGUUUCUAAAGUCUAAGAACUCGAGUGUAGACGGUAUAAUCCCCGGAAGGGAUUUCCUGAUACUCAACGCUUGUAGGGUGGAAAUACUCUUUUCGGAAAGUGGUGUCCAUAAUUCCGUCUUGAUCCUAGAUCUCUUUACUUAUCAAACCUAGAAGCAUUGCUGCUUGAAACCUCCCGAACUAACAACCUUGAAGCAUUUAGGCCGAAUAUUAUGGGCCUAACCAUUUGGAUUGAACCCGAGCCUAUAAAUUGCUCCCAUAUAUGGCUCAAAAGUAGUUCAUAACAUGUAAUUCUUAAUUGUUCUAUGAUGCAUUGUAGUUCCACAUCUCCUUCGACGUACGAGAUGUCUAACAACUCAACGCGGAGGCCAAAGAUAACCUACUCUACAUAAGCAAGCUAAGGUUAUUCAUGAGGGUUUACAAAAUUGCCAUUCAAUCUGUGCAUAAUGCUAAUCGAAGAUUGGAUUGUGGUGAGGCCACGAGAUCUAACUAAAAUAAACUUAAGGGAAAAAAUUUGAAAAAUCAAAGGUGUGCAAGAAUGCCAAAUCAAGUGGGUUCAAGACAAUUGAUGAUAAGGUGCUUAGACUUUGAAUCCCUUAGCUUACGAUAUUCUAAUGAUGAAUGACAAGUCGGUUUUGUAGAAACUCAUACCAAUGUCCAUACAUCGAUGCACUGUUCUCAAACUAAGGCCUAAGAUCCCACGUUGUUUCGUUUCAACCUUGCUACCUAAUUACUAGUCCUAGACCAAGCUCCAACUACAACAUAAAAAGUGUGUGCACUAUGCAUGAACGGUGUACAAUUUGUGCAAGCCUCGUACAAAUUAUACGGUUGGUCGUUAGAUAUUAAAAUAUUUUUUUCAUGAGUCAUAAAGCUUGCAACGGUUAUUAUGUGGGUGAAGAAGAAUUUCGUCAACGGAAAUCAAAGUCGUCAUAAAACUCAUCGAAAAACUUUCUAAUCGUUGUAGACAGUACCCCGAUUGUCGGAAACGAUGGUCUAACGACCAGAGCAGGUGGUCCAACCAAGAAAAUUGGUUGGGUCCCGGAAACUUGAAAAAACAAAAUUAUUUAAACUUAACAUGACCAUCUUUUCCCAAUUAAUUUAGUCCCUUAGAUUAUGUAGCCAUUCAUAAACCUAAAUUGAUAUUUGAUUGCAUAAAAGAUAUUUUUAUACCCUUAAUUCUAGUCCAGCCGUCGGAUCAAACCUGCAGCUCACUCCCGCCGUUAGAUGCACGUUUCAGAAAGAUAUGACCCAACUAUGAGCCGUUUCGAGGAAAGACGGUAUAAAAACUAAAUGUCGACAAACCUACAUUUUUUUGCUGUGCUGCGCGAGGUUGCGUUUGUUUGGCAAUUGACGCUGACCCUUCUCAACCUCGGCUGCGCCGCGUCUUCUUUCUCUCUGCUCCCAAAACCCUAAUUCUACUGCUCAUAUACAACCCGCCAUUGGAGCUCACAAGAAGGAGACAGCCUCUUUCUAGCUCUGCAAAGAACAGUAUCACUAAGGUACGAGAAUAGCUGUACAUCUUGUAUCCCUGAUUUCGUUUUUGUAAGUCUUUUGGGCCUUUCAUCAUUGUUGAUGGCGAUCUUCAUCUCUUAUAGUUAAUCUAGAUUCAUUUUACUUAGAAGCGAUGCUUAGGUAGUAGAUUUAGGUCUUCCUUUGUCUCGACCUCAAGCUUCUCUUUGUUGCCUGAAACUAUCUGCGUUUUCUCCCCUGGCUACCAUAUCAUAAGGUGGAUAGCUAGAUAUCAUCUGUCAAGGGAUUUGAUUCGGCUGUUAUCUUUUUUUUUUCCACACUACCUUGUUCUCUUGUAAGGUCGGUUCUCGGAAAGUUUGCUGUGUUACGUGCACAAGGCUACGAAUUGAUGCACAACGGUAUUUUCAUGGAAGUAGAUGUCUUUGUGUGUCGUAAAGUUAUAAAAGUGGUACUGGCUCUUGCUGAGUGCUCAACUGUAUGUUCAUGGAAGUAGAUGUGUUUUUGUGCUGUGAAGUUAUAAAAGUGGUACUGGCUCUUGCUGAGUUGCAUGCCUAGUACUUGCUAAUGCUGCACAUUUGAUUUCCAUAUGUAUUCUGUCUCUUCACUCUGUGUAAUUUGUUCCAUGCAGCUUGGAGACUUCCACCAGGUGUACAAGAAUUCUCCAUCAUAAAGAGGCUAGGCUUUGGUUCUUAUAUCAGCAACCGUUAUACUAAACCUUAGAAGCGGCAUGAUGGUUCGGAACUCUCUGCGGCUUAUUUCAUACUCGCAAGAACUUGUAGAUGGUCAGCCACUAUUUGUUUCUUCAAAUUGCUUUCCUGUAAAAGCUAAAAAUUAUGAUCCUGCGGGACAUGCGUUCCAUGCUGCUGCUCUCAAACUUGUUGGAUACCUAGCCACAGAAGAGCAGAUACGGAAGAGUUAUCGUGAGGUUGCUUUGAAGUAUCAUCCUGACAAACAGGCUGCACUUCUUCUUGCCGAGGAAACUGAGGCUGCAAAACAAGCUAAAAAGGAACAAAUAGAAAGUCAUUUCAAAGCUAUCCAGGAAGCGUAUGAGGCUCUAAUUGAUCCGGUGAAGAGAAGAGUUUAUGAUUCUACUGACGAGUUCGAUGAUGAAGUUCCCACUGAUUGUGCACCACAGGACUUCUUUAAAGUGUUCGGGCCUGCAUUUGUGAGGAAUGGUCGUUGGUCUGUGAGUCAGCCAGUGCCACCAUUGGGUGAUGAUGCCACUCCUUUUAAAGAAGUGGACAGCUUUUAUGAUUUUUGGUACAGCUUUAAAAGCUGGAGAGAAUUCCCCCAUGAAGAUGAGUUUGAUCUUGAGGAUGCUGAAUCUCGUGACCAUAAGAGGUGGAUGGAGAGGCAAAAUGCAAAACUGUCUGAAAAGGCUAGAAAAGAAGACUAUGCACGUAUUCGUACCCUAGUUGACAAUGCCUACAGAAGAGAUCCGAGAAUACAGAAGAGAAAGGAAGAGGAGAAAGCUGAGAAGCAGCGUAAAAAGGAGGCCAAGUAUUUGGCAAAAAAAUUGCAGGAGGAAGAAGCUGCAAAAGCUGCUGAAGAGGAGCAACGCAGGAAAGAGGAGGAGGGAAAACGUGCUGCUGAAGCUGCUUCGUUACAAAAGAAAGCAAAGGAGAAGGAGAAGAAACUUUUAAGGAAAGAACGUGCUCGUCUUCGAACAUUUUCAGCUCCAGUCUUGUCCGAUCGUUUUCUUGGCGUUACUGAAGAUGAUGUAGAAAAUCUCUGUAUGUCGCUUGACAUGGAGCAAAUGAGAGGUUUAUGUGAUAAGUUGGAAGGUCAAGAGCCAUUAGAGAAAGCCAACCUCUUGAAGAAUGCAUGUGGACAUGAUCAGGAAGCUGAGAAUCACAAGGGAGACCAGAAGAAGACACCUCAGCAGAACGGUUCUGCUUCUAAUGGGGGUUUUCAUGGCAGCAGUUAUAGCAGCAAAGAAAAACCUUGGCUUAGAGAAGAAAUCGAGCUCCUAAGAAAAGGAAUGCAAAAAUUUCCCAAGGGUACUUCUCGCCGUUGGGAGGUUAUCUCUGACUAUAUAGGCACUGGGAGAUCUGUUGAACAGAUCAUCAAGGCAACUAAAACAGUUCUCCUCCAAAAGCCUGACUCUGCUAAAGCUUUUGACUCCUUCCUGGAGAAGAGGAAACCCGCAGCAUCGAUUGCUUCUCCGCUUACAACGAGAGAGGAAAUGGGUCUCGUGAAUCCGCAGAGCUCCGAAGAUAAUGCUGUAAAGGUGGACAAUACUGAAGAAGCUCCAAGUUUGAGUUUAGACAACCCGAAAACUGAUGACGGAAAUUCUGCAACAAAUACAACGCCAUCUUCUGCUUCUUCUUCAGAGCAGGAUGUAUGGUCUGCUGUUCAGGAGAGGGCGCUUGUCCAAGCACUGAAAACCUUUCCAAAGGAUGCCAAUCAACGAUGGGAGCGAGUUGCAGCUGCAGUACCUGGAAAGACUCUUAACCAGUGCAAGAAGAAAUUUGCUUUGCUGAAAGAUAGCUUCAGAAGCAAGAAAACUACCGCUUAGUCUCCUAUCGUGAUUUAUGGUCAUCGUUAUGAAGAGCUCUUAUCUCGCGAAAUCCUGGAAAGCUAUCACAUAUGCCAGGUAGAGCAAGUUGGGGCCCUAAGAAUUUUACUAGUACAACAGGUUUUUUGGUGUCCGAAAACGAGAGUAGAGUAAAGUACCGCCACCAUUAUUUUCCGCAUGGAAAGAAGAUUUUGUUCAAGAGGGAUAUAUGACAAUGUUUCCUUCAGUUAACUAUAAUGAUCUUUGUAUUUGCUUGAUUUUUAGACUUGGCUACUGUAUUUUGCAAGAGUCAUUGGAUGUUAGAUACAUUUUCUUAUGCAUUAAUUACUACGACGCUUGUCAUGAAUCAUGAUGAACAGUUGCAUUAGAGCCAGAUUUGUUAAGAGCUCAGAUGAUGAACACUGUGUAAUGAUAGUUCUUAC
rnacentral:lncRNA from 1 species